AUAAAUGUUGACCAAAGAUAGGUAAGAUCAAGGUCAAACCCUCAAAAUCAGAAAUGAGAUGAAGAUUGGAAGUCAGGAAAUAAACAAAAUAUUUUUGGCAUUUUUAAUAUUUGAAAAUAAACUUGAAUUAAAAUAUUAAAGAAAGGUCAAACAUCAAAAUCACUUCAAAUCAACUUUGAAAAGUCGAAGUGAAUCAUCCCAAGUUCAUCAAGGUCAAACAAAGUUUGACAAAAAAUUU
rnacentral:lncRNA from 1 species